rnacentral:rRNA from 1 species
GACGAACGCUGGCGGCGUGCUUAACACAUGCAAGUCGAACGGAAAGGCCCUGCUUUUGUGGGGUGCUCGAGUGGCGAACGGGUGAGUAACACGUGAGUAACCUGCCCUUGACUUUGGGAUAACUUCAGGAAACUGGGGCUAAUACCGGAUAGGAGCUCCUGCUGCAUGGUGGGGGUUGGAAAGUUUCGGCGGUUGGGGAUGGACUCGCGGCUUAUCAGCUUGUUGGUGGGGUAGUGGCUUACCAAGGCUUUGACGGGUAGCCGACCUGAGAGGGUGAACGGCCACAUUGGGACUGAGAUACGGCCCAGACGCCUACGGGAGGCAGCAGUGGGGAGUAUUGCACAAUGGGCGGAAGCCUGAUGCAGCAACGCCGCGUGCGGGAUGACGGCCUUCGGGGGGUAAACCGCUUUCGCCUGUGACGAAGCGUGAGUGACGGUAAUUGGUAAAGAAGCACCGGCUAACUACGUG